rnacentral:tRNA from 1 species
GCCGGGGUAGCUCAGCUGGGAGAGCGCUCGGCUGAAGACCGAGAGGCCCCGGGUUCGAAUCCCGGCCCCGGCA